CCAGUGCCACUUUUAAGAGUAUUCAUGAAUGGAGGAAGGAAAGAAAGAAGGAAGCCUGGUUGAAAAAACGAGGUGAAAAGAAGUGAUGGAAGAAAGAUGGAAGGGAGAAGAAUUUCCAGUGUUGCUGUUGAGAGAGUUCCUGACACCCAUGAAAUAAAGAUUCAUGGCAAAGACAUUUGCCUUGAAGAGGACAGGACAAUGGUUCCACGAUGUGACAGCUUUCCAGGGGUCUCUGGCUGCGUCAUGCAGCAGGUGAACUAUGAGUGUCUCCCCUAGGGCAUGAGCCCGGCUUCUAAUGUCUAGCUUCCAUUCUGUCAACUUGAGACCUUGCCUCUGUGACUGUUUUCUUCUAGGCCACGCCUUCCCUUUUUAGGAAGAAGAUUGUCUGAGAAAGAAUAUGCUCAUGUGAACCUCAGAGUAGUAACAUGCUUGAAAAAAUCUGUUUCAAGAAAUGUACUUUCCAAGUACAUUCUAAAGGUCCUGCUUAGUGAUAGCUGUUGCUGGUUGUUACUGGGAUAAUUCUGAGAAGGAUCAAGUUCACCUAGGAUGGUUCUCAGCCAACUUCAAGCAAAUACUGUAGGUCUUCCCUUUGCCCUCCCGAUAGCACAGUCUUGGUGAUUCUUUGUGAAUGGGCAGCUGCCUCCAGGCUGACCCUGCAGAGACCAGGGUGCUUGGGGACAGGUCCUGAAGCCAGGGGAGGAGACAGCCAUCGUCCUCGGCCUCAUCCCUCUUCCUCUUGCUAGAGAGCUUAGGACAUUUGUGUUCCUUUCAGAAGCAGGUGGGAGAGAAAGGGAAGGAGUCAGACAAGAAACACCACCAGCAACAAGGUCUUCCCACCUGGCUCUGGGCCACGAUGGAAGAGGACCUGUAGAACCGACGGCGAGAAAGCAUUGGCCUGGUUUUGAUUCCAUGUUCCUUUAAUUCCAGGUAUAUUGAUGAGUAGCAAGACAGUACUGGGUACCAGGGGGAAGUGGAGGAAUGAUGCCAGCUAAGGAGUUCAACACAGCCUAUUCAAAAAGAGAGAACAGUACCUCCUCUUUAUCCUCUCCUUCAUAAAAACACCAGAAGAUGAAGUAGUGAGAACGGCAGGGGGAGGAGGGGAGAACCAUUAUUCUGGGAUUACAGGAGGGAAGCCAGGGAUGUCCAGCUCACACCACCUGCAAAGGUCACUGCUCUUGAUUGUUCCAUUUGAAACGCAGAGGGGACAUGAUAAAAAUUGAGAUGAUCCUGGAGCCAGUGAAGACACUGACCAAACCACCAAAAGAGAUUCCACUUAAAACUUGCCUAACCCUCUAGCAAUUGUGGUAGACUGAGGCCCAUUGAGACUGGAGUGUGAUUUCUGUGCAGAAAUGAAAAAUAAAUGUUUACUGCCUGUUUGGGGUUAUUAAAAGUCUCCUGGCAUUUGAGAAGAGUUGGGGUUACAUUCCAUUUACUAUUUUACUGGUGGCAUUUAGGAGUUAAUUUAAAGACUCUUUGGAAUCCACUACUUAGGCAACUUGGACUGCAUUAACAAUUAUAUGAGUGCCAAUAUUUUUUUUUUUUUUUUUUUUUUUGCGGUACGCGGGCCUCUUACUGUUGUGGCCUCUCCCGUUGCGGAGCACAGGCUCCGGACGCGCAGGCUCAGCGGCCAUGCCUCACGGGCCUAGCCGCUCCGCGGCACGUGGGAUCUUCCCGGACCGGGGCACGAACCCGUGUCCCCUGCAUCGGCAGGUGGACUCUCAACCACUGCGCCACCAGGGAAGCCCCCAUGAGUGCCGAUAUUUUAAACACAUAUGCUAUGUUUGCCUUUACUCUGGACUGAUUUAGGUAAUGAGGGUGAACUAAAUCACCAGGUUGACAUUCCAAUUCAUUGCAUGCUGUGGAGGGAUCCUGUGAGUUCCAGAACCUGUAGCUGCUAUUAUUGUCUGAUCUGCGGCAUGGACUACAGUGGAUAUUUGCCCAAACUCAUCAAAAUU